AUGAGGCUGAAGGAGAAAAGCCGAGAAGCAGAUGAAGUUUUGUUGUGUAAAGAGAAAAAAAUAAGAGAAACUAAAAAGUAAAGAGUCUAUAAAUGUUAUCUAAAGAUAUUUUUGUCUUUUAAAGGAGUUGUUUUUGCAUAAUUUCGACCUGUCCUUGCCUUCAGGAGAUACUGUAUAUAUUUCUGAACUGGACUUGGCCUUUAAAGUUCUACUGGAAAACUGGACUGGGAAAAAUCGAGCUGAAUGUCGAGUUGGAUGUCGGGAUUGAGAACUGAGAUGGCGAGCCACCAACCAGAGAGCCCUUGAACUUUGAACCAGUAGGAGCUGCACUCUUCUGCUGGAUGUUGUUUUCAUCAGAACUGGUCCAGUACUGCCCAGGUGCCAUGGAUGUGACAUAGUUUUCCGGGUCUGCGUGCAUGGCCUUACGCAUGAGGGUGCCGUCCAUGUUGAUGGAGUUGUAACUACAGAAAACCAGGGUAAAGGCUCAAUCACAAACAAUGAAAAUGUCACAUAUAAUAAUUACAUGAGUAUAUAUUUAAACAAGUUGUGUUACCCAGCUUCAUGUGUGUGUAUAUAUACUGUAUAUUUGUUUCAUAUUAAAUGAAUAAAGGUCAAAGUGAAUACCUUUUGA